rnacentral:lncRNA from 1 species
CCUGCGGGACAUCCACAGAAGUUCCAUGUAACUGGUGUCCCAGACAAGUCAUAUUUUCUGUGAGUCAGCUCUGAGUGGUGAGUGCUGGGGACUGGGAAAGGCCUGCACUGUCACAGCCAUGCAGUGUGCACAGGAAUGCACUGCCACAGGGACAACCUGCAGUGGCCACACCUGUGUGUCUAUCUGUCUGAAAAAUACCCUACCAGUUCUGGUUAGGCAGUACUUUUCAGGCAGAAAUAGGAUCUCUUUGUGAGGUAAAGGCUGUCAAAAGAGUAUAUACAUACAGGCUGUAUUCCAAUGAUGGAUAAAAAAAGAUAGCUUUCACAAGAUCAGGAAUAGUAAUUCUCCAAGCUGGAGGUGAUCCUGCCUUCAGAACAAGCUGUCUCACAUGGUCUUUGGGAAGGAAGCCAUGAUGAUGAUGGACAUGCAUCAAGCUAUCCCUGAAAAGCAGCAGGAGGGGAAACAUAUCACUACCAGUUGGAUGAGGAGAAGGAUGUCUUGAACAUCUGAAAGGAUUGUGUGAAAAAUACCAUAAAUACUACUAUGAACUCCAUGGGACACAACCUUGAGGCGCAAACAAAGUUGAGUCCCACACAUCCUUUACCUGUCCUUUGCCAUAAACACAUCCUGAAUAAACUAAGGACAUGGCUGAACUUUCUGAAGUCACAGGACUAUGGUUGCAUCUACAAUGUGGAGAACAGAGAAUACACCAGCUGAUCAGACAGAUCACUACACCUGUGGUCUAGGAGAAAAGGUGCCAGCCAGAAAGGUCUUUGGCUCCAGCCCCAGGCUUUCAACUAUUAGAGUGAGCAAUGCCAGACUUUUGUUUUCCUGUCAGUUGUUUUUCCCCUUUUUCAGAGUGAGCA